rnacentral:rRNA from 1 species
UACGUAGGUGGCAAGCGUUGUCCGGAAUUAUUGGGCGUAAAGCGCGCGCAGGCGGUCCUUUAAGUCUGAUGUGAAAGCCCUCGGCUCAACCGGGGAAGUGCACCCGAAACUGCAAAGCUAGAGUCUCGGAGAGGAUCGUGGAAUUCUCGGUGUAGAGGUGAAAUUCGUAGAUAUCGAGAGGAACACCGGUGGCGAAGGCGGCCUUCUGGACAGUGACUGACGCUGAGACGCGAAAGCGUGGGGAGCAAACAGG